GACACACAAGACUUCCGGGAGCUGUUCCCCUAGAGAGGUGAGUGGGAGUCUGGUCUCUUGGUAAAAUAACAAGAUAGGGCCACAUCCACAGCUGAGAUAGGGAUCCAGGAGGAGAAGGGGUCAGAAGGGAAAGUGGCUGCCCUUCUGAUGUCCCCUUUCCUGCUGCCUGCCUGCACCUUAAACAGAGAGUUGUGGGCAUUGCUAGGGCUCAGCUUUUCUGCCCACAUCCCUGCAGGGGCCCCGCCUGCCCCAUGUUUGGGCUGUUCAUUCCAAACACUGAGCUAGCCAAGGCCGCCAGAUGAGAGUGACAUCUGGCUGAGACCACGGCCAAGUCUCUGCUGCUCUGUCCCUGGCAGGCAAGAGCUAUGUUCCCAGUGCCAGGUUCUCAAAGAGGGAGACAGAGGGAUGGGGGCAGAAUAAAGCUCUGUGCUCCUUACCCAGCCAUUUUCCUUCUUCCCUUCGUGAUACUUAGUUGGAAUCUGGAUAGUCAAGGAGUAAAGGGCAUCCUCCGGAGUGCUGGGGAUCGUGGGAGUGGUGGAAAGAAUCAGAGGUCAACACCAAGUGUGUGCACAUGUGCAUGCACACAUACUGUGGACCACAAAGUACAAAGGAUGGUGGGGAGUCAAUCAGGUACCCGGAGUGACCUGAAUGGGAUCUGAAUGACACAGCAGAAGCCUGCACUGUCUCCUGUUUUCCCAACACAAGGUCGGACUCUCCUUCCACCCUUCCGCGUAACUCUCUGUGGAGUGACAGCCUGGUGCCUGUCAGCCAGGCUGGAGCUAGAAAAGGAGUCAUCCCAUGUCCAGGAGGAGAGGCAAGAUAGUGUUUCCAUCUAGAGGCACUGGCAGAAAGUCUAAUACUGAUGGCCCAGUCUGGUCUCCUUUGGUCCAUGGCCGCUUGUCAGCUGUGUGACCUCGGGCAAGCAACUGGACCUCUCUAAGUUUCUGUUAUCCAUCCGGAAAAUAAAAGUAAGGCCCACUUGCUGUAUUUUGUGAGCUUAAGAAACACCUCAAAGGAGAAUAUUGUCAUUUUAGAAGUGAGCCAAGUCAAGUGUGGAAAGGUUGAAGGACUCGGUUGGCCAAAGUCGUGAAAGUAGAUAAGGUAUCGGGGAAAAGGGUUAUGGGGUUCCCAGAGAAGCAGCUUUCAGCUCUCUGAGGGUUGGGGCAGCAUGGCUCAAGACUUGUGGGUGUCUUCUGUCCUCAGCACUAUCAGCCCUGUACCUCUCACACCCCUCUGUCACUUCAGAACACCCUCAAGCAUAAACAGCAGUGUUGUCCCCC
rnacentral:lncRNA from 1 species